UAGCAAAAUUAGCAAGGACAAAUACUUUUAUUAGGAAAGUCCACUUCCAGGAAUCUCUUUUAAGGAAAUCCAUGUGUAAGUGAUAAGGAUAUUUGUAUAGGGAUGCUCUUGAGCAAGCAUUUCUAUAACAGUAAACAUUAGAAUCAAUGUCAUGUCCAACAUUUAAGGAGUGUUUGUAUCUACAAUAACCCAUCCAAAAAAAAUUUAAAAUAAAUUUAAAAACACCACAAUAACCUAUCCAUACCAUGAAAAGAUAUGCAUUUGUUUAAGGGAAUGAGGUAAAUAACAGAAAUGGUGAUGAGAUGCCACUGAAAAGAGUUAAAGUAGCUAAUGUUUAAUAAAGUGGUCAAACAGUUUAUAUGCAUAUCUCACUAAAAUUUAAAUUAAUCCAUGAGGGAAGUACUCCUAUUUGCCCCCUCUUAUGGACAAAGAAAUCGAGCGAAGCACAGAAAAUUCAAAAUUUUUUCAAGCCACAUGGUGGAAGAACCAAAAUUUCCACCUAGAACUAGAGGCUUCAUCGCGAGUGAAGACAGGUUUUGUUCUCAAUUCUUGGGAUUUUCUAGUUUCCAGGAUGUGCUGCUGUAAAAACCCAGCUUCGGGAAGUGAGGGACUCUGCAGUGCCUCUGGGAUAAGUAAGGCCCAGACGCGGACUAUUGAAAAAAACACCUUUACUGAAAACUCCUUCUUUUAGGUACUUUUAUGCAACUUGAGUCUUCGGGAAGCAUACUUCGGAGUCUCAUUUAAAGUGGAUAAAUAAGGUCACUAACAGGUUGCUAGUAAAAGACGCCGUCCCUGGGUGGGCUCGAACCACCAACCUUUCGGUUAACAGCCGAACGCGCUAACCGAUUGCGCCACAGAGACACGGAAACUCUUUUUCGUAAACUCGUUUCCUGAUCUCAGAAAUUGCUUUCCAACCUCUAAGGGACAUCUCAUUCUGCUCCGGAAACCGGAGGCGCGGGAGACACUGAGGCCACCGGUCGUGUCAUUGGAUAUGGCUGAACCCCGACACCGGGCCAAUCACCUGAGGGGCUCGGCGACCUCAACGCCGGAUCCGGCGCCUCUCCGCCUGCUCCUCGCGGCCUCUACAGCCGCCUGGCUCCAGCGGUCGCCCGCAGCCUCUCGGGCUGCAGCCAUCCUCCUCCCCGUUCUUAGCUCCGAUCUACUCGUGGCUUUCACAGUGAGUCCCCACGGGACAAGGCGGCCGCGCGUGAGAAGGGCGCUACCCCCAUUGUCCCCACCUCGCCGCCCGCUCUCGAUGCCACUAAGGUGUGGACUCAACGGGGCAGGACUCGGGCGUGGCUCGGGCUGCACCCCGUGCCCCUGGGCAGGGCCGGGCACCUACUGACCACUCUCUACAUGCCUGGUGAAGGAUCCGUUCCGCCGUGGGGGCCUAGGCGAGCCAAGAAUUCCAGUGUGGGCUUUGAAGCUCUUAGUCCUACGAGGGGCUCGGGAGAGGGAAGACGGCAGGGGUUUCUCCGAGGCGCACGCGCUUUGUUCCCAGAGCUGAUCCAGAACGCGGCGAAGAUCCGACUUUGGACUCGUGCGCACUAGGAUGGACCUGGGCUCCCCACCCGGGACCGCCACGCAGCCUCAGUCCGGCUUCGGCGGCCCGGGGCUGGGGUGUCCAGGGUCGAACCGGUGAAGCUGGAGAAAGAGAAGGAAGCGAGGGGGCGUGGGGCAGCCUGGUGAGGGGCGGGUGGAGAGAGCGCGAGCACUCCAGCCGCUGAACAAAAUGGCCCAGAAAACUGAACAUGCCGAUUUUCUUUAAUUUCCAUCAUCCGCCACUUGCCGUCUCUUGUGUGCGGUUGCUGCUCUCCACUCAAAAAGACAGCUGUUCUUCUUUUAAAUGCUUGGUUUAAAGACGGCAGCGCCGUGAGAUGUCACCCUUUAGACCUGGCUACUUCCCGAACGCGGUCCUCGGAGCUGCUGGGGCGCCCACCUUCCCUGCUCGCCGCAGGAGGGGAGGAAACGCGGCAAACCGUCCCCCCGGGGGGACCGCGCCCAGUCCCAGCCCCUCGCCCCCGGCCCGGAGCCGGCCGGCUGCGCGCUCGCCCUCCCGGUCCCUGCGCCCCGCAGAGGAACCUGGACGGAUGUGACGAACCGUCCGUACUUCAAGGAGGUGCACUCUCAGAGGCAACCGCAGGAGAGGCUGAUAAAGAAUUCUGAAGAAAUGGGUGUACGAGUGAACUUAAUAUUAUUGCUGGGGUAAAGUGAGUAAUGCUUGUACUGAGUAGGACGAUGACAGCUGUAGCUCAGUUCCUCAUAAAUAGAGCCGAAUGUUCCCUAUAGCUUUGUAGCCAUUUGCAGGCUACCUACAAGCAUGCACUCAGGUAUUUUUUUCUUUAUAAACGUAGCUAAUAAUACGCUAUUUAUUAAUAAGUGUGUUCGAGUUUCAAUUUAUUUCCCCAACAGCCCCCAAAGAAGAGGUGGAGAACUCGCGGGGCUGGGGCACAGAAAAUGUACUUGGCGUCACGUCAACUUUCACCUGUGCUUAAAGAACUUAGACAAAAGUGCCCACGACUGUCGUGGAGGGUUGGGAAAUUCCAGUAACAGGGCUAAGGAGCUGAGGAUCCGUGGUAAGUCUCGGUGGGACCCCUUGAGAUGGACUGAAAAUCCUUUUAACCUAGACGUCCUUUCUAUGGAAGUCUGGGUUCAGUCUGGGUGGAAACUAGCACCGGGAGAGGCCCUUCUAAAAGGCCCGGAGCGGGGCUCGGGGCGCGGGGUGGGGGAGAGGGGGCUGGAGUUGCUCUCUCAGCCGGACCACGUCUCCGCGCAGCACGUUCUAUCCACUACGCGGGUCCCUCCUUGAGCUCAGAAGUAGGAAGAUCCUAGGCCGGGAUUGUGAUUUAGUUCCAAUCAGCUGUGGGCCAGAGGAAAUCAUCGAACUCUCUACAAACCUAUUUCCUGAUCAGCACACGCCGAGGUGUUGGCUCAGAUAUUUAUUAUUUGGGCAACGGUUCCAAUCUGCUAGGGGAAAAAGAAGCGCAUCUACUUUUCGUCGUCUUGCUAGCUCAGUUUGGAGCGCUCACGACUUCUCAUUUUAAGGUCUUGAGCAUCGCCCAGCGUCCAGUGCAUUUUAUUUGGUUGUCUUCGGACUGGGGACCAGCCGUGGCCGGAGCCGUGGGGAGCCCCACGGUGGCCACGAGGGGGCGCGCGGUCCCUUCCGCUUGGAUCUCGGCUCCCAGGAAUCACUACUUUUUUUCAGUUCGGAUGGUAAAGAAUAAUGAUGUCCAGUUGAUUCACUUUCUCUGAGACUGGCAACAACCCAUGAUACUUAUUCUUUACCACCCCAACUCUAGGAUCGUCUUGAGUCAGGGCAGGGGAGGUUGGUUGCCUAAGCUCAGCUGCUCAGCUCAGAUGCUACCUCAUUCCCUCUGCUGCUAUCAAACCACGGGAAAAGGCACGAAGACAACUGGAUUUGAAGUCGUUCUGCUAAAACAACCAUCUGUGUGUAUUUCCGGAAUACCUCUUCUGUAUCAUGGAACUCCAUACAACAUUGCUUCUGACCAAGAACUCAUUUGACAGUGGCCCUGGGCUCAUGCUCACUCACUGGUUUUACCCUGAAGUAGCUAACCUGAUGGGACAGUAGAACGUGUUUUUGAAUAUUCAGUUUCAGUGCCAGCUGGAUGACAAUGCCUCGAGGAGCUGGAUAAUAUUUCACAGGAUGGCAUAUAAUCUAAAUUAGCAAACAAUAUAUGGUGCUGUUUCUUGCAGGUUUGGGAACCAAGUGGUAGAAAUGGGAGUGGCUCCUCUAUUAGACCUAGGGAUACACUAGUGAACAUUUUGCUUCCCACCCAUCUCUGUAACUUUGGUAUCAGUUGAUCCAGAAGUCUUAGUUCCCGAGAGAGAAGUGCUUUCAGCAACAGGUGCAAUAACGGCUGUAUUAAAGUGGGCACUGAGACUGCCACCUGGCCAUUUGGGGAUCCUCAGGACAGCGGGUCAACAGGUAAAGAAGGUUACUUUACUGAGUGGGGUGAUUGAUCCUGACCACAAGGGAAAACUGGGCUGUUCUACGCAAUGGAAGUAAGGAGGAGUAUUUGAGGAAUGCAGGAAAGCCCUCGGAAGACCCUUCAGAACUCGCUGCACUCUGAUUAAAAGUCAAUGGAAAAUUGCAACAAUCCAGGACAGGCAAGACAGAGAAUGGUCCAGAGACCUUGGGAAGGAGCGUUUAUGGAUCACUCCACCAGGCAAGAUACCUGCUAACAUUGAGGUGUGGUGCUUGCUGAGGGCAAAGGAAAUGUGGAAUGAAUAGUGAAGAAGACAGUUACAAAUACCAGUGACUGUUGCUGAAGUGAUGACUGUAAUAAAAAAUGAGUAUUUCUUCCUUA